UACGUAGGGUGCGAGCGUUGUCCGGAAUUAUUGGGCGUAAAGAGCUCGUAGGCUGUCUGUCGCGUCGGUCGUGAAAACUUGGGGCUUAACCCUGAGCUUGCGGUCGAUACGGGCAUGACUGGAGUUCGGCAGGGGAGACUGGAAUUCCUGGUGUAGCGGUGAAAUGCGCAGAUAUCAGGAGGAACACCGGUGGCGAAGGCGGGUCUCUGGGCCGAUACUGACGCUGAGGAGCGAAAGCGUGGGGAGCGAACAGG
rnacentral:rRNA from 1 species